rnacentral:rRNA from 1 species
CCUACGGGAGGCAGCAGUGGGGAAUAUUGCACAAUGGGGGAAACCCUGAUGCAGCGACGCCGCGUGAGUGAAGAAGUAUCUCGGUACGUAAAGCUCUAUCAGCAGGGAAGAAAAUGACGGUACCUGACCAAGAAGCCCCGGCUAACUACGUGCCAGCAGCCGCGGUAAU